AGUCUCUGGGGUUUGGGAAAGUAAUACAGUCUUACCCCAAAACAGCUCUGUUGAGUUUUCCUCUGUUUUGUUGCCAGCUCUCCCUCCUGCAGGAACAUCUCUGCGUCUCUCAGCUGGCUUCACGUUAUCUUGUUGCUACUGGCUACCUUUUGGCUUUCAGCCACUGUUGUCUCUGUUCAGGACUGCUCCGCUGCCACUUUCAGUGUCUUCUGCUGCUGCUGACAAUGUGUGGAGGAAUUGAUUUGCUCACUGUAAGCAAAAUAGCUGCUCUUGGUCAAAGGACUGGUCUGUGUAGAACAGCAGAUUUCUUGCCAUGUUUCUCCUUCCAGCUCUUCCUCAAAACUCUUCCUGUGCUAUCCACUGACACCUUUUUAGCCCCCAAUCAUCUGCUCGAAUCUCUAAAACAUGUGACUCAUGUUCCA